AUUGAACGCUGGCGGCAGGCCUAACACAUGCAAGUCGAGCGGAGCGGCGAACGGGCGAGUAACGCGUGAGUAACUGCCCCCCUCUCGGGGAUAACAGAUGGAAACGGCUGCUAAUACCGGAUAGUGGGGGAUGACUCGCGUCCUAUCAGCUUGUUGGUGGGGUAGUGGCCUACCAAGGCGACGACGGGUACCCGGCCUGAGGGGGCGACCGGCCACAUUGGGCUGGGAUACGGACCAGACUCCUACGGGACGCAGCAGUGGGGAAUCUUGCACAAUGGGGGAAACCGUGAUGCAGCAACGCGCGUGCGGGAUGACGGCGUUCGGGUUGUAAACCGCGUUCAGCCAUUACGCGGUAGUGACAGAAGAAGCACCGGCUAACUACGUGCCAGCAGCCGCGGUAAUUC
rnacentral:rRNA from 1 species